AGAGUUGAUCAUGGCUCAGGACGAACGCUGGCGGCGCGUCUUAAGCAUGCAAGUCGAACGCAACCUACCUUCGGGUAGGCUAGAGUGGCGGACUGGUGAGUAACGCGUGGGUGACCUGCCCUCGAGAUGGGGAUAGCCAUUAGAAAUAGUGGAUAAUACCGAAUACGCUUUUUUAACUGUGGUUGAAAAAGGAAGGAGCUUAGGCUCCACUCGAGGAUGGGCCCGCGUCCCAUUAGCUAGUUGGUGAGGUAAAAGCCCACCAAGGCGAUGAUGGGUAUCCGGCCUGAGAGGGUGAUCGGACACAUUUGGGGACUGAGAUACGGCCCAAACUCCUACGGGAGGCAGCAGCUAAGAAUCUUCCGCAAUGGGCGAAAGCCUGACGGAGCGAACCGCCGCGUGAACGAAGAAGGCCGUGAGGUUGUAAAGUUCUUUUCGGGAGGGGGAACAGCCGUGGCAGGGAAUGGCCGCGGGAUGACGUGAAUCCCGGAAUAAGCCCCGGCUAACUACGUGCCAGCCGCUGC
rnacentral:rRNA from 1 species